UCCUCCGUGGCGCAAUUGGCUAGCGCGUCUGACUGUUAUAAAGUAGCGAUCAGGAGGUUCGUGGUGAGUUGGCUAAACUAAGAUGACAUCCCAGCAUGUACCUAACUUGCCUUAGGUUCGAGCCCACGCGGGGGAG